UGCCCCACUCCUCCCACAGAUCCUCCACACCACCUCCUCCCCGAGCCCGCUGUCGGCCGCUUCCUUCCCACCGCGCCGCCGCCCGACCUCCUCCCCCAUGCGCCGCCGCCCGGCCUACUCCCUCCCCUCCGCGCCAGCGCUUGGCCUCCUCCCCACCGCACCACCGCCCGACCUUCUCCCCCCACGCGCCGCCGCCUGGCCUACCCCCAUCCGCGCCGCCGCCCGGCCUCCUCCUACCGUGCCUCCGGCAGGCCUCCUCCCCAUCGCGCCGCCGCCCGGCCUCCUCCUCGAGCGCGCUGCCGUCCGGCCCUAUCCCCAUCGCCGGCAGCAUCUCCGUUCAGCUCCGGCCGCCGCCCUCCCUCCAACCACCAUGGCUCCAACCACUCAUUCACACAAGCAGGAGCCCCCUGAUUCCGUUGUCCUCCUCCACUCUCUGGAUCAGGUUCGUCCCUGUAGACCCCCUCCUCCUGCGCGUCUCCGUACCUUCUCCAUCUCCCACCAAAUGUGCUUCCAGGUUGUGCCUACAAGUAGUCAUGGAGACUUUCUUUCUCCAUAUACUGUGAUUUGGGCUACUGCAAGUAAAAAGUUCACCAUGUGAGAAGGAGUCAGUGCAAUAUACUGUAGGUUAGAUGUUCGUCUUUUGCGUGACCAAAAAAUUUCAUCUUCUGAAGGUUGAAGACAAAUGGGCUAUGAAGCUUUAGAUAAAAUUGAUUUGUUUCUGUAUCUAUAUUCUAGUAUUCAGCAUGAGCAGAAAGUUUGCUCCUGCGCCUCUAGCCAUCAGUAGUUCAUUGUCAGUACAGGCUCUGAAACUGCUCAGUACAGUCCGUUCACCGCUGACACGCGAGGCCGUUCAACGACGCAAUGAUGAGGUCUGGACUUUCCCCUGCCUCUUUUUAUGUAGCAUUUUCUGAAAGUAUCACACUUUCAACUGCCUCAAGAGUUCAAAAAUCUAAACAAACAAAAGCUGAAACUAAAGUUCAGGAACUGUUUCCAUCAGAAAUUGAACUGUUGUAAAGAUUGUAAAUUGAAGUGUUUGUUUUUCUAGGUACUGGCACUACAAAAUACAAAUACACUCAGUUUCAGUUAAUUAUUUUAGUUCAGUUUAACUUCUUGUUUUAGUUCAGGUCAAUUCUUAUCUUAAGUUUCAGCUCGGUUCAAUUCUUAUUUUACACUUCAGUUCAGUCCAAGCUUUGGCAGAUGACGGCCGUGCCAAAUCUGUAGUGGCAACAGGAGGGUCAAGUCGCUGUGGUUGGAGGACGGUGCCCUGCUGCUGCUCUGCAUUAGAUACAAGUGUCGCAUCGAGCGGCUGUCCUCCAGUGUGACACACGAAUAGCUACUGCUGCAUUAGUACGUGUGUGCUGCCGCAUCAGUACGUGUGUGCUGCCGCAUUAAUAGUGAAACUCUACCUCGGACGAGCCCAUGCGGAAACCGUGGCCUCCACCACGUUUGGCCGUCUCUGUCCUCGUUAUCUUCUGUACAGUGUGUUGUCAACUCCUUCGUUUCAAGCCUGUUUCUGGCCGACCACAUACUCCUUCAACUGAUGAGCUUGAACUACGUGUGCUGCUAGCCAUUUUGUGUUACUUGAACGGCCGCCCUUGCAUCAUCAAAAUCUUGAUUUACUGGGCAAUGCAUGUCACGCGGGGUAGUUGGAAGGGAGGGGAAGCUCGUUGCCUUGCCAUGGUUCCAGCGGGGGCCGGGCGGGCUGGUGUACACAAAGGAUAGAGGUCCUGGCCUCGUACGUCCAGGAUGGUGGCAGUGGUGGCGCAGAAUUGGAGAGAGAAAAAGAGGAAAGUCGUCCAAAAAACUUAACAUUUUUUCAUGUUUCUCUCUAGCUGAAAUGAAGCAAGACUAAUUUACUACACUUCAUCUCUCUGCACAGCAGGUUCAUGUACAUCGACGACAUCGCCAUGCGUGCACGCUCCAACCUGUCCCCUGUCGCAGCCCCAUCACUCGUUGCCGAUGCACUCCAACCCCGAGGACCUCCAUGAUGGAGGUCGCCUCGCAGCCUAGCGACGAGUGUUUGUUGGUUUCUCUUUCAUUUACGGACAUCUUGGGCUUGCUGGGUGCAGAAUCAAGAAGCCCCAUCAUCAUCAGGGAUGAAAAAUAGGAGAGAAGCACGGGAAGAGGUGCUAGUAGAAGAGGAAGAAGUAAUGUGAAAAAUGAGAUAAAUGUGAGAAUAGCAAGUAGUAAAGCAUGAGAGGGAUUUAGAUUCUGUUUUCACAUUCUUGAUGUACACGUACCUUUGGUCUGUAGAUGCACCGUAAUGGAUCUAGGAAGUAUGAAUGCUUAAUACCUCAAUGGUGCACUAUGCAUCUUUGGUAGGUUUUUAUGCAUUUAAAUGGUUGUGGAGCAA